GGGACGAACGCUGGCGGCGUGCCUAACACAUGCAAGUCGAACGGGCCAGGGGCAACUCUGGUUCAGUGGCGGACGGGUGCGUAACACGUGAGGAACAUGACCUUCGGCGGGGGAUAGCCGGCCCAACGGCCGGGUAAUACCGCGUACGACCACAUGGGGACAUCCCUGAGUGGUGAAAGCAGCAAUGCGCCGAUGGAGU
rnacentral:rRNA from 1 species